GACGAACGCUGGCGGCGUGCUUAACACAUGCAAGUCGUACGGUAAGGCCCUUUCGGGGGUACACGAGUGGCGAACGGGUGAGUAACACGUGAGUAACCUGCCCACAACUUUGGGAUAACGCUAGGAAACUGGUGCUAAUACUGUAUAUGUGCUCCUGCUGCAUGGUGGGGGUUGGAAAGCUCCGGCGGUUGUGGAUGGACUCGCGGCCUAUCAGCUUGUUGGUGGGGUAGUGGCCUACCAAGGCGGCGACGGGUAGCCGGCCUGAGAGGGUGACCGGCCACAUUGGGACUGAGAUACGGCCCAGACUCCUACGGGAGGCAGCAGUGGGGAAUAUUGCACAAUGGGCGCAAGCCUGAUGCAGCAACGCCGCGUGCGGGAUGACGGCCUUCGGGUUGUAAACCGCUUUCAGCAGGGACGAAGCUUUUUGUGACGGUACCUGCAGAAGAAGCACCGGCUAACUACGUG
rnacentral:rRNA from 1 species